CAGGUGGCUGUGCAGUGAGUGGGUUGCUCUUUGACAAUGCGGCAUUGGACUGUCUACAGUCAUAAAAUGUUAAAAUUAUAAGAUCUAGAGAUGGGAGUAGGCAAGAAGGAGUCAACCGGGAUUGGCAAGAGGAAUGUCUAGUUUUCCAGAAAAUAAUUGGGUUAGGACUGUAACUACAAGAGGACUUGACAAUGAGCCGGAUCUGAGAGGAUCACCAAAACUGAAGAGCAUACAACCAUGCCGACAACCAUCCGUGGAGAUCAGUGGACAAAGGCUGGACAAUGGGCCACACCGAAAUAAAAACGCAUGGUUCCCAAGAAAGAGAUGAAGUAAGAGCUGAGCAGAGGAGAAGAGCUGCAGCCUGGAGGAAUGAAUCUGAACAGCAAUGAAACUAAAGUCCAGACUGGAACAGUCAGGUGUGCUGUAUCUAAGAUAGACUAGUGAGGGAUGACAGAUUCAUCUCUGUUUGGAUCCCAAAUGGCACCUUAUUCCUU
rnacentral:lncRNA from 1 species